rnacentral:rRNA from 1 species
GACGAACGCUGGCGGCGUGCCUAAUACAUGCAAGUAGAACGCUGAAGGAGGAGCUUGCUUCUCCGGAUGAGUUGCGAACGGGUGAGUAACGCGUAGGUAACCUGCCUGGUAGCGGGGGAUGACUAUUGGAAACGAUAGCUAAUACCGCAUAACAGUAGAUGUUGCAUGACAUUUGCUUAAAAGGUGCAAUUGCAACACUACCAGAUGGACCUGCGUUGUAUUAGCUAGUUGGUGAGGUAACGGCUCACCAAGGCGACGAUACAUAGCCGACCUGAGAGGGUGAUCGGCCACACUUGGACUGAGUCACCGCCCAGGCUCCUACGGGAGGCAGCAGUAGGGAAUCUUCGGCAAUGGACGGAAGUCUGACCGAGCAACGCCGCGUGGGUGAAGAAGGUUUUCGGAUCGUAAAGCUCUGUUGUAAGAGAAGAACGAGUGUGAGAGUGGAAAGUUCACACUGUGACGGUAUCUUACCAGAAAGGGACGGCUAACUACGUG